rnacentral:rRNA from 1 species
GACGAACCGUGCGAACGUUGUUCGGAAUCACUGGGCUUAAAGGGCGCGUAGGCGGGCGAUCAAGUCAGAGGUGAAAUCCUGCGGCUCAACCGUAGAAGAGCCCCUGAUACUGAUUGUCUCGAGGGAGAUAGGGGCAUGUGGAACUUCCGGUGGAGCGGUGAAAUGCGUAGAUAUCGGAAGGAACGCCGGUGGCGAAAGCGACGUGCUGGAUCUCUUCUGACGCUGAGGCGCGAAAGCUAGGGGAGCAAACGGG